GCUUCUGUGGCGCAAUCGGCUAGCGCGUCUGACUGUUAAUCAGGAGGUUGGUGGUUCGAGCCCACCCAGGAGCG